AUGAACGCUGGCGGCGUGCCUAAUACAUGCAAGUCGAGCGAACAGAUGAGGAGCUUGCUCCUCUGACGUUAGCGGCGGACGGGUGAGUAACACGUGGAUAACCUACCUAUAAGACUGGGAUAACUUCGGGAAACCGGAGCUAAUACCGGAUAAUAUAUUGAACCGCAUGGUUCAAUAGUGAAAGACGGUUUUGCUGUCACUUAUAGAUGGAUCCGCGCCGCAUUAGCUAGUUGGUAAAGUAACGGCUUACCAAGGCAACGAUGCGUAGCCGACCUGAGAGGGUGAUCGGCCACACUGGAACUGAGACACGGUCCAGACUCCUACGGGAGGCAGCAGUAGGGAAUCUUCCGCAAUGGGCGAAAGCCUGACGGAGCAACGCCGCGUGAGUGAUGAAGGUCUUCGGAUCGUAAAACUCUGUUAUUAGGGAAGAACAAAUGUGUAAGUAACUAUGCACGUCUUGACGGUACCUAAUCAGAAAGCCACGGCUAACUACGUG
rnacentral:rRNA from 1 species